GGGUGCGAUCAUACCAGCACCAAUGCACCGGAUCCCAUCAGAACUCCGAAGUUAAGCGUGCUUGGGCGAGAGUAGUACUAGGAUGGGUGACCUCCUGGGAAGUCCUCGUGUUGCACUCC
rnacentral:rRNA from 1 species